rnacentral:rRNA from 1 species
UACGAAGGGGGCUAGCGUUGCUCGGAAUCACUGGGCGUAAAGGGUGCGUAGGCGGGUCUUUAAGUCAGGGGUGAAAUCCUGGAGCUCAACUCCAGAACUGCCUUUGAUACUGAAGAUCUUGAGUUCGGGAGAGGUGAGUGGAACUGCGAGUGUAGAGGUGAAAUUCGUAGAUAUUCGCAAGAACACCAGUGGCGAAGGCGGCUCACUGGCCCGAUACUGACGCUGAGGCGCGAAAGCUAGGGGAGCGAACGAG